CCUACGGGCGGCUGCAGUGGGGAAUAUUGCACAAUGGGGGAAACCCUGAUGCAGCAACGCCGCGUGAAGGAAGACGGUUUUCGGAUUGUAAACUUCUGUUCUUAGUGAAGAAUAAUGACGGUAGCUAAGGAGCAAGCCACGGCUAACUAUGUGCCAGCAGCCGCGGUAAUACAUAGGGGGCAAGCGUUAUCCGGAAUUAUUGGGUGUAAAGGGUGCGUAGACGGAAGAACAAGUUGGUUGUGAAAUCCCUCGGCUCAACUGAGGAACUGCAACCAAAACUAUUCUCCUUGAGUGUCGGAGAGGAAAGUGGAAUUCCUAGUGUAGCGGUGAAAUGCGUAGAUAUUAGGAGGAACACCAGUGGCGAAGGCGACUUUCUGGACGAUAACUGACGUUGAGGCACGAAAGUGUGGGGAGCAAACAGGAUUAGAUACCCUAGUAGUC
rnacentral:rRNA from 1 species